UGUCGUUUUUAGCAUUCAACCUCCACCUUCCGAUCCCCACCCCAUCAUCUUUCUUCGCUAAUCGCCCCACCGAAGACUAAAAUAUAUAAAAAAGAAAGAAAAAGAAAAAAAUCACCCGCUCACUAACUUCACCCCCCCCCCUCGCUUGCUGUCAACGCCUCCAAGCUCCUCUCUCCUCAGGCCCUUGCGUAUAUAUUUAUUUAUUGUUUUUACAUAUCUCUCUGUAUAAACUAUUCGAACACUCUCUACUGAAUCCAGUUUUUUCCAGAGCCAAAGCGAGAUGGCGGAAGGUAACCUCGAGUGUUGCAACAAUGGAUCGUCAAAACCAACGGCGACUCCAUAUGAGGAAGCACUGGAUGCUUUAUCUUCGUUGAUAACGAAACGCAGUCGUGCUGAUAAGAGCAACAAAGGAGAUCGUUUUGAUUUGCUUUUCGAUUAUUUAAAAAUUCUGGAGUUAGAGGAGGCAAUAUCAGAGAUGAAGAUCAUACACGUGGCAGGCACUAAAGGAAAGGGAUCCACGUGCACCUUCACGGAAUCUAUCCUACGUAAUUGUGGCUUUCACACUGGACUUUUCACAUCUCCUCAUCUCAUUGAUGUCCGAGAAAGGUUUCGUUUGGAUGGUAUGGACAUUUGUGAAGAGAAAUUCUUGGCAUAUUUCUGGUGGUGCUUUGACAGACUAAAGGAAAAAGCAACAGAAGAUAUACCAAUGCCUACCUAUUUUCGCUUUCUUGCUUUACUUGCCUUCAAGAUAUUUGCAGCGGAGCAGGUAGAUGUAGCUAUUUUGGAAGUUGGGUUAGGCGGAAAGUUUGAUGCAACAAAUGUGGUUCAGAAACCUAUUGUGUGUGGUAUAUCUUCCCUUGGGUAUGACCACAUGGAGAUUCUUGGAAAUACUCUAGCACAAAUUGCUGGGGAGAAGGCUGGUAUCUUUAAGGAUGGAAUUCCAGCCUUCACGGUGCCUCAACCUGACGAAGCAAUGAAUGUGCUUGUAGAUAAGGCUUCUAAGUUAAAUGUAACCCUUAAAGUGGCAGAGCCAUUAGAUGCCAAAUUGCUGAAUGGUUUAAAACUCAGUCUUGAAGGUGAGCACCAGUAUUUAAAUGCUGGUCUUGCUAUUGCACUAUCUUCUACUUGGCUUCAAAGGACUGGGCAUCACGAAUUCACUUGCCCGGAACAGGCUAGCCCACUUCCUGAGCAAUUUAUUAAGGGGCUUACAACAGCCAGUUUGCAAGGGCGGGCUCAGAAAGUCCCUGAUCAAUAUAUUAAUGCUGAGAGAUAUGGAGAUCUUGUGUUUUAUUUGGAUGGAGCCCAUAGUCCUGAAAGCAUGGAGAUGUGUGCAAGAUGGUUUUCUCUUGCCGUUAAAGAAGACAGCCAGAAAAAGGCCUUUAAUCAUCCCCCACAGAACAAUUCUGGAUCCACAAUUGAAUUGACACAGGGGAACCCCAAAGAGAGAGAUGGAAAGAUUUCCAUGCAGAUAUUGGUGUUCAAUUGUAUGUCAGUGCGGGAUCCUCAGCUGCUUCUCCCUCGUCUGAUGAAAGCAUGUGGUAAUCAUGGUGUCUACUUCAAGAAGGCGCUCUUUGUUCCAAAUACAUCCGUGUAUUACAAGGUUGGAUCUCAUGCAUUACCAACUGAUUCUCAAGUUGAUUUAUCGUGGCAGUUGGCUCUUCAAAGAGUUUGGGAGAAUCUCAUACAGAGUGAUAAAGGAGGGGAGGCCAAGCAUGCGGAUGCUGUUUGUGAAGAAGGUAAAGAUGAUACCAAAAUGGGUGGUAGCACUUGUGAAAAUAGCACAGUCUUUCCUUCCCUCCCAUUAGCUAUUAAAUGGCUUAGGGAAAGUGUCCAACAGAAUCAAUCUGUUCGCUAUCAGGUCCUUGUAACCGGUUCAUUACAUCUCGUGGGUGAUGUGUUGAGGUUAGUCAAAAUGUGUGGCACAAGACCAAGUUGAAGGUCUCUAGUUGCAACAACUUGUGCUUAAGAAGUGCUGGCAUUGACACUGGACUAACAAGGUACCAAAUGCGAGGAAUCCGUUGAAAAUUUGUUGAAGAACAUAGGACACAGCAAGCUCCUGAAAAAUAAUUACAUGCUAUCAGAAGCUUUUGGUUCUUGGAUGGUGGAAAUCAUCAAAUCAAGCUUCCACUUUUAUUAUUUGCUUGAAUAAUACGUUCGACGAACCAGUCAUUGCUACUCCGUGCGUUUCCGCAGGUAUGCUUUUCUGCGUAUACCGAAGCUUUCUUGUCUUUUUUAUAGCCUCCUCAAAUAACAGCGAGGACCUUCAAAACUUGCUAACAAAACCUUUUUUAAGAUAUUCCUAUAGCGUUCAUAGCAACCCCUUCUGUUUAAUCUGCUUGACGCUAAUGUAUUAUGCCUUCAAUUUAGCCAUCCCCCCCCAAAGCCAAGUGACUUUCUUUGGUAUGCUUUGAUCAGUGCAAGAACCUGUCAUUUCCUUAAGAAAGCAAAUGUUGGUAACGUAAUGCAUGCUUGAAAUAUUAGUCCACGAAAGGGAAAAAAAAUGGAGAACCAAAAAAAGUCCUUUCAAAGAUAAUUUUCACUACUGUUUCUCACCCGUAGCUGCUGAAUAGAAAUGGCUGAGGCUGUUGCCUCUGCUGUCCAUGAAAGCAUUGCAGAUUUACUCGCUUGAAGCAUAUGAAGUGUUUCUUAAAAAAUGCUGAACAGAAGCAAGGCCAAGGUGAACGAGUUGCAACUGGAUAGCUAAAAUAAAGGAUGUUGCUUAUGAUGCUGAGGAUGUUAUACACAUGUUCGUUCUUCAAGCUUCGAGACAUCGAGUGUUGAUUUUUCAACAGUUUCACCUCCAUGAUCAUCAAGUCUCUUUACCUCCAUAAAAUUAGGAACCAGAUCGAAUAUGUUCGAACUCCGAUUUGUUAACGUACAGGUUUACCUCCACGAGCACCUGACUAGUUUGCAGACUUGUGGUUGAGAAGAUCAUAUUCACAUGACGAAGAAGACCUUUUAUAAACUUGGAGAAUGACAAGGGGUCUGAUAGCUUGUCGAUGAGAGUGGAGGAUUGACUUCAACUUGUUUCUAUAGCAGGCAUCGGAGGACUUGGUAAAAGUGCUACGAGCUCCCAUCAAGAAAACCUAAAAUCAUAUCGCAGUAAAAUUUAAAAAUCGAAGUGUUAAUGCAUGCUUUAACUCCGCAUCAAUGUUGGUUGAUGCAUUUUUUUACGUGUUUAACGAAUGAGUUUGUGGAUAAGAUAUAUAAAAGAAAACGGGUCAUAAUUUUUUAUUUAGAUAUUCGAUUAAUGUAAAUCAUAUCAAUUCAAAAAAUUUACAGAGGCUCGCAAUAUGAAGAUAAUGGAGAUAGACGGCAUGAAUUAUUUUCAAGAUUAAAACCCAUUUCAAAGAUUUUUUUUUGUUUUUUUGUGAUCCUAACUUGCAGAAUCAACCCAAAUUACUCUAGUAUAAAAAUUAGACUUUAUGCUCUUUUUUUUUCUUUUUUUAAUUUUCAUAUUUCUAGAAUUAAUUGUAGGAUUUCUGGUUUAUUUUAUUUCUUAUUUUAUUUCAAAGCAGGUCGGGUUUAUGAAAAAAUAAAGGAAGUCAAAAACUCGGCUGAUUUGGUAACCCGGCAAGACCUGGUCAAAAAAUUAGUUGUAACCCGUUAAUUAUUUAUUUUUUUAAUCAAAACGAUGUUUUGAUUUAUAAAAAAAAUUAGAAUUGACCCAGUCCAAGGUCUGGGUUCAAAAACACUGCUCUUGGGGCUGAUAUUCAUCACAGCUCUCCAAGAACUAAAACUCGGUGCUGAGACAAGAAUUUGUAAACAGAAUUCGAGGAGUAGAGGUGCUGGAUUUUAACAAGGCAUAUCCCCUCCAUCUCAAUGCAUCCGCAAUGGAGCUGAAGCAAUAAUGACAUGGUGAGCAACUCUUCUCUUUUAGCAGGUUAAUAAACAUACGGUGGUGCCCUUGGCAUCAGAAAUAGUAAUACGUGAUUCGUUUUCUUUCAGCAGUAAUAGUAAGACUCAAUGCUGCAUGGUCAAGAUAGAAGGAAUCCGCUGAAAAGCUUCUUUCAUUAGCUCAAAAAAUUUUAAUGUACGUUAUUGAGGCAAGAACCAUAUCCGCAAUGACACAUUUGCUUUUUUCUCUGCUUCUUCAAUAGUUUCCCCUUCUUUUACAUCUCCACCACAAUUGCUGAGGGAAGUUCCGUAUAAAAUAAGCCAAAAUGAAGUGCAAAGGAUGGAGAUGAACAUUCAGAUCCCAAAACCCUUCAACAAAUAGUCACGAAUCACAAUCCCAUCUUCAUGGGAGCUCAAAGCAAUUUAUGGAGCUCUUAGUUUUCUUUCCCAAGAGACUUGAUUUCUUUCAUCAGUUCAGCUUGGUUUUCCAGGAUUGAGUUCAUCACACCGGACAAUUCCAUCUGUUCGACGAUGCACAAAAUUAAUUCCAUUUAUAAAUACAACAAAAGGGAAAAAGAAACUAUAAAUGCUGCAUACAUACCUCCUGCAUAUGAAAUUGUCUAAGAAUUUCUAUAUGAAGGCUCCUCAUAUCCUCAUGUAUGGAUUUCUGAAAUGAAUCAAGAGUUUCUUCAAGAGUACGCUGGAAGAGCUGAAGCGUGAACGAACUCCCCUGCUGUGUAUCUGGCUGAAGGAUUUUGUGUGGCUGUGUGGCUCCUCCCUGCCAUUAUAUUUUGCAAAUUAACGAGCCUUGAUAAUCAGAUAGAGAAAACAAAGCUAAUAUGUGUCAAUAAUGUUUUAGCAUCACAAGUUCCUUCACUGUUCUGUAUUUAAGUUGAUGGCAACAAUUUGCAUCAGUCACAAAUGGGGCCCAUGCUUGUAAUUCAAACCACAAUAUUGAAGGCAUCUGUCAUGAUAAGCUACCUUGGGAUUCCAAAAGGAAACACCCAAGCACUUAGAAGCCGCAGGAAAAAAUUAAUUGAAGCCAUCUAGUGAUCUUACGUUCAUUGCUGGAAGAAUUCCUGGUUCUGUGACCGCCAAUGCAUCAGACCUCGACAAUAUGCUAUUCAGCAGCUCUUCCCUAGUUUCAACUCCUGUUUUCUUUGUUUUUGGUGAAACCACUGAGAGGGAUGUCCCAUCACUGAAGGAAGCAGUAGUGUUUAUUCUCUCAGCAAAAGUUGAAAACCUGCGAGGUUGGUUUAAUGAUGCUGGUCCAGAUGCUUCAAGGCUAGCUAGUUCCGUGAUGUGUUUUGUACCUAAUGACAGAGACAUGGAACUGGAGGAAAUGUGUUCUGGAAAUCCCAUUGAAGUCUCCUGAUUCAAAGAGACAUCUCUGGUGUGCAGAUUUGAAAAGCUGCAGCUGGAAUUAUUCAAUGAGCUCGUACCUGUCUGAUUUGUUGAAGAGGACAGAUCUUGCAAACUAGAAAACAUUGAUCCUAAUGUUGAACUCCCAGAAGUCAUCGCAAAACGAGAUGGUAAAUUUAGUGGCUGGGGUAGGUGAGCAAUACUAUCAGAUAGUCUCUCACCACCCCAAGCUUCUGGAGGAGUGAUGGAGGAAUCUUCACUCUUGGAAGAUGGAGAUGGAGUAGAUCCCCCUGGUAAGGUGAAAGACCGGGCCUCAUCCUGCCAAAAAAAGGGUCCACUAGUGAUUGCUGUUAGAGAUGAUGAUUCUAUUGAAAGACCUGAACGACCAGUAUUACCAGAGCCAGAUACUGAGGUGGAUAGAGCAACACUAGAUGAUGUUACAGAAGGAAGAGGAUCUGGCAUAAGAAUGGAAUCAUCAACAGCACCUCCCAAAAGAGCUAUCUCAGGAGUGCAGCAUCAUCCAUUAAGUGGCACAUCAAUUAAGUCAUCCUAAUGGGAAAGAGGAUAGGAACACACAGAACAACAGGUUCACAUAUCAUCCAGGCCAAUGUAAAGAAACAAUCUUGAUAAGCUCAUUUACUAAAAUCAAGAAAUGUGAACAGCCAUUGGUGGAUUUCUCAUAUUUGUAACUCUAAUAAUGUUAUAGAAUCCCGUUUACAUCUCUUUCUGCCUAA